rnacentral:sRNA from 1 species
GUUUUUGUUGUUUUUU